CCAACAGGUCCAAAGGCAGAAGUCUGCAGACAGAUUGGGGAGUCUGAGAGAGAGAAGCUCCUUGUUUCAGCAACAUAGAGUAAGGAAACAAGAGGCUUCAAGAAGCAUUUCCUGAGAAUACUGUGAGAAUCUUGAAAUUGCCUUAUUCACAUACUACCACAGUAGAGAUCUCUUAAAAAAGCAAAGCUUCCCUUCAGGUACCUCCCACAGCAGAUCUUGGUGGUUCAAUCUGGUGACAGGUCCAUCUGAGAAUAAGAAGAACCCUGGAGAGACUGCCUGGAUGCGUCUUGAAUUCCCAGUGCUUGCCUAUAUGAUCUUUCUCUGGUCCUUUGUCUUUAAAUAAAAGCCUUAUGUGAUUGUA